rnacentral:lncRNA from 1 species
AAACGUGGAGCGACACAAAGUAGAGUGAGAAAAGAAAAAUCAAGAAAAUGAAGGGUGAAAGAUAGCAGAAAUUCAGCAGCAAUGAAGAGAAAAAUGGUAGGAGGGUGGAGGGAUUUUGGGGAAAGUAAAAAAAUGAAAAAAAAUGAACAGAAUAUUUGAUAACCAUCCCAAUCCUUUAUUUCUCUCCAUCAAACUCCCCACUAAAUCCACUAUUCAGAUUUUAGUCCAUCUCAAACUCUCCUCGACGCAUAAGAAAAAAUAAUU